CAGCAGCCGCGGGAAUACGUAGGUGGCAAGCGUUGUCCGGAAUUAUUGGGCGUAAAGGGCUCGCAGGUGGUCUAAUAAGUCUGAUGUGAAAGCCCACGGCUCAACCGUGGAGGGUCAUUGGAAACUGUUAACUUGAGUGCAGGAGAGAAAAGUGGAAUUCCUAGUGUAGCGGUGAAAUGCGUAGAGAUUAGGAGGAACACCAGUGGCGAAGGCGGCUUUUUGGCCUGUAACUGACACUGGGGCGCGAAAGCGUGGGGAGCAAACAGGAUUAGAUACCCCAGUAGUCCCUGUCUCUUAUACA
rnacentral:rRNA from 1 species